AAUAGGUAGACAUUUUGAUUUAAGUGGGGGCACAAAACCCAGUUCUGCUUCUACUGUUGGUUGGCUCUGUGAUCUCGGGCUUUUCACCUUCGUCUGUCAGACCUUAAUUUCUCCAGUUCUAAAAUGAAGACCGAAGGGACUGAUCCUCCAAAUGUCCCCUGACUGCUGAGGGCCACCAUAUUUCAGAGAGUUGGCUAAGCGCCAGCUUUUGCUCUCUCCCUCCUCACGUGGCCUCAUCUGAAGAGAUUCUUUUGAUGCUCCCUGCUAGACUUGUCCAUUAAUCUUCCCUCCUUCCAGCCUCCAUGUGAUGAGCGUCUGUCCUUGAAUUCCGACUGUUAGCGUGAGGUGACGCCACCACAGCUGGCCAGGCUUCCCAGCAUGAGCUUGAGACUUCUUUGGCUACCUCACUCACAAUGGUGAGGUAUAUGGACACUCUGUAGGACCCAGUGAAAACCAUACAGUGUAUGAUACCAUAUGACACCUUCACUUAGCUAUAAGCAAACAAAGGCUUUUGUAUUUAAUCUAUAAUCAAUCCCCAUAAUAAAGUAAAAUUUAGAA